rnacentral:rRNA from 1 species
CGGACGGGUGAGUAACGCGUGGGUAACCUGCCCUAUACACAUGGAUAACAUACUGAAAAGUUUACUAAUACAUGAUAAUAUAUAUUUACGGCAUCGUAGAUAUAUCAAAGUGUUAGCGGUAUAGGAUGGACCCGCGUCUGAUUAGCUAGUUGGUGAGAUAACUGCCCACCAAGGCGACGAUCAGUAGCCGACCUGAGAGGGUGAUCGGCCACAUUGGAACUGAGAAACGGUCCAAACUCCUACGGGAGGCAGCAGCG